CCUGACUGCUAUCGGAUUGAUACUAAGCCAUGCGAGUCUUUGUAGUAAUACAAGGCAUACGGCUCAGUAACGCGUAGUCAACCUACCCUAUGGACAAGAAUAAUCUCGGGAAACUGAGCAUAAUUCUUGAUAGACCAUAAUGCCUGGAAUGGUUUAUGGUUAAAAUGAUUCGUCGCCAUAGGAUGGGACUGCGGCCUAUCAGCUUGUUGGUGAGGUAAUGGCCCACCAAGGCGAUUACAGGUACGGGCUCUGAGAGGAGAAGCCCGGAGAUGGGUACUGAGACAAGGACCCAGGCCCUAUGGGGCGCAGCAGGCGAGAAAACUUUGCAAUGUGCGAAAGCACGACAAGGUUAGUCCGAGUGAUUUCUGCUAAAGAGAUCUUUUGCUAGUUAUAAAACCACUAGUGAAUAAGGGGUGGGCAAGUUCUGGUGUCAGCCGCCGCGGUAAAACCAGCACCUCAAGUGGUCAGGAUGAUUAUUGGGCCUAAAGCAUCCGUAGCCGGCUCUGUAAGUUUUCGGUUAAAUCUAUGCGCUCAACGUAUGGGCUGCCGAAAAUACUGUAGAGAUAGGGAGUGGGAGAGGUAGACGGUACUCGGUAGGAAGGGGUAAAAUCCUUUGAUCUAUCGAUGACCACCUGUGGCGAAGGCGGUCUACCAGAACACGUUCGACGGUGAGGGAUGAAAGCUGGGGGAGCAAACCGGAUUAGAUACCCGGGUAGUCCCAGCUGUAAACGAUGCAGACUCGAUGAUGCAUUGGCAUAUAGCCAGUGCAGUGUCGCAGGGAAGCCGUUAAGUCUGCCGCCUGGGAAGUACGUACGCAAGUAUGAAACUUAAAGGAAUUGGCGGGGGAGCACCACCAAGGGGUGAAGCCUGCGGUUC
rnacentral:rRNA from 1 species